AGUUUACUCUUCGGGGUUGUAGGACUGCAACGUGGACUUAAAGAUUAUAGAAGAACUACCUGGGAAGGUAGGCCAAAGAGAGUAAUAGCCUCGUAUUCGAAAUAGUCUUUAUACCUAGCAGUAUCCUGAGUACGGCGAGACACGAGAAAUCUCGUCGGAAUCUGGGAGGACCAUCUCCCAACCCUAAAUACUCUCUAGUGACCGAUAGUGAACCAGUACCGUGAGGGAAAGGUGAAAAGCACCCCGGGAGGGGAGUGAAAUAGAACCUGAAACCGUGUGCCUACAACAAGUUCGAGCCCGUUAAUGGGUGAGAGCGUGCCUUUUGUAGAAUGAACCGGCGAGUUACGAUAUGAUGCGAGGUUAAGUUGAAGAGACGGAGCCGUAGGGAAACCGAGUCUUAAUAGGGCGCAUUAGUAUCAUGUCGUAGACCCGAAACCAUGUGACCUACCCAUGAGCAGGUUGAAGGUGAGGUAAAACUCACUGGAGGACCGAACCAGGGCACGUUGAAAAGUGCUUGGAUGACUUGUGGGUAGCGGAGAAAUUCCAAACGAACUUGGAGAUAGCUGGUUCUCUCCGAAAUAGCUUUAGGGCUAGCGUCGAUGUUAAGUCUCUUGGAGGUAGAGCACUGUUUGGGUGAGGGGUCCAUCCCGGAUUACCAAUCUCAGAUAAACUCCGAAUGCCAACGAGAUAUAAUCGGCAGUCAGACUGCGAGUGCUAAGAUCCGUAGUCGAAAGGGAAACAGCCCAGACCACCAGCUAAGGUCCCAAAAUAUAUGUUAAGUGGAAAAGGAUGUGGGGUUGCACAGACAACUAGGAUGUUAGCUUAGAAGCAGCUAUUCAUUCAAAGAGUGCGUAAUAGCUCACUAGUCGAGUGACCCUGCGCCGAAAAUGUACCGGGGCUAAAACAAUUUACCGAAGCUGUGGAUACCUUUAUAGGUAUGGUAGGAGAGCGUUCUAUGUGCGAAGAAGGUGUACCGUGAGGAGUGCUGGAGCGCAUAGAAGUGAGAAUGCCGGUAUGAGUAGCGAAAGACAGGUGAGAAUCCUGUCCACCGUAAGACUAAGGUUUCCAGGGGAAGGCUCGUCCGCCCUGGGUUAGUCGGGACCUAAGGAGAGACCGAAAGGUGUAUCCGAUGGACAACAGGUUGAUAUUCCUGUACUAGAGUAUAUAGUGAUGGAGGGACGCAGUAGGCUAACUAAACCAGACGAUUGGAAGUGUCUGGCCAAGCAGUGAGGUGUGAUAUGAGUCAAAUGCUUAUAUCUAUAACAUUGAGCUGUGAUGGGGAGCGAAGUUUAGUAGCGAAGUUAGUGAUGUCACACUGCCGAGAAAAGCUUCUAGCGUUAAUUAUACUCUACCCGUACCGCAAACCGACACAGGUAGUCGAGGCGAGUAGCCUCAGGUGAGCGAGAGAACUCUCGUUAAGGAACUCGGCAAAAUGGCCCCGUAACUUCGGGAGAAGGGGCGCUGACUUAUGGUCAGCCGCAGUGAAUAGGCCCAAGCAACUGUUUAUCAAAAACACAGCUCUCUGCUAAAUCGUAAGAUGAUGUAUAGGGGGUGACGCCUGCCCGGUGCUGGAAGGUUAAGAGGAGUGCUUAGCGUAAGCGAAGGUAUGAAUUGAAGCCCCAGUAAACGGCGGCCGUAACUAUAACGGUCCUAAGGUAGCGAAAUUCCUUGUCGGGUAAGUUCCGACCCGCACGAAAGGCGUAAUGAUUUGGGCACUGUCUCAACGAGAGACUCGGUGAAAUUUUAGUACCUGUGAAGAUGCAGGUUACCCGCGACAGGACGGAAAGACCCCAUGGAGCUUUACUGCAGUUUGAUAUUGAGUAUCUGUACCACAUGUACAGGAUAGGUAGGAGCCUAUGACCUCGGGACGCCAGUUUCGAGUGAGGCGUUGUUGGGAUACUACCCUUGUGUUAUGGCUACUCUAACCCAGAUAGGUUAUCCCUAUCGGAGACAGUGUCUGACGGGCAGUUUGACUGGGGCGGUCGCCUCCUAAAAGGUAACGGAGGCGCCCAAAGGUUCCCUCAGAAUGGUUGGAAAUCAUUCGCAGAGUGUAAAGGUAUAAGGGAGCUUGACUGCGAGAGCUACAACUCGAGCAGGGACGAAAGUCGGGCUUAGUGAUCCGGUGGUGCCGAGUGGAAGGGCCAUCGCUCAACGGAUAAAAGCUACCCUGGGGAUAACAGGCUAAUCUCUCCCAAGAGUCCAUAUCGACGGGGAGGUUUGGCACCUCGAUGUCGGCUCAUCACAUCCUGGGGCUGAAGUAGGUCCCAAGG
rnacentral:rRNA from 1 species